rnacentral:tRNA from 1 species
GCCGGCUUAGCUCAGUUGGCAGAGCGCUGGUAUAGUAAACCAGAUGUCACAAGUUCAAGUCUUGUAGCCGGCA